UAAGGAAUAUUGGUCAAUGGAGGCAACUCUGAACCAGCCAUGCCGCGUGCAGGAAGACGGCCCUCUGGGUUGUAAACUGCUUUUAUUCGGGAAUAAACCUAUCUACGUGUAGAUAGCUGAAUGUACCGAAGGAAUAAGGAUCGGCUAACUCCGUGCCAGCAGCCGCGGUAAUACGGAGGAUCCAAGCGUUAUCCGGAUUUAUUGGGUUUAAAGGGUGCGUAGGCGGCCUAUUAAGUCAGGGGUGAAAGACGGUAGCUCAACUAUCGCAGUGCCCUUGAUACUGAUGAGCUUAGAUGAACUAGAGGUAGGCGGAAUGUGACAAGUAGCGGUGAAAUGCAUAGAUAUGUCACAGAACACCGAUUGCGAAGGCAGCUUACUAUGGUUUUAUUGACGCUGAGGCACGAAAGCGUGGGGAUCAAACA
rnacentral:rRNA from 1 species